rnacentral:rRNA from 1 species
AGCGUACACGGUGGAUGCCCUGGCAGUCAGAGGCGAUGAAGGACGUGCUAAUCUGCGAUAAGCGUCGGUAAGGUGAUAUGAACCGUUAUAACCGGCGAUUUCCGAAUGGGGAAACCCAGUGUGAUUCGUCACACUAUCAUUAACUGAAUCCAUAGGUUAAUGAGGCGAACCGGGGGAACUGAAACAUCUAAGUACCCCGAGGAAAAGAAAUCAACCGAGAUUCCCCCAGUAGCGGCGAGCGAACGGGGAGCAGCCCAGAGCCUGAAUCAGUGUGUGUGUUAGUGGAAGCGUCUGGAAAGGCGCGCGAUACAGGGUGACAGCCCCGUACACAAAAAUGCACAUGCUGUGAGCUCGAUGAGUAGGGCGGGACACGUGGUAUCCUGUCUGAAUAUGGGGGGACCAUCCUCCAAGGCUAAAUACUCCUGACUGACCGAUAGUGAACCAGUACCGUGAGGGAAAGGCGAAAAGAACCCCGGCGAGGGGAGUGAAAAAGAACCUGAAACCGUGUACGUACAAGCAGUGGGAGCCUCUUAAUGGGGUGACUGCGUACCUUUUGUAUAAUGGGUCAGCGACUUAUAUUCUGUAGCAAGGUUAACCGAAUAGGGGAGCCGAAGGGAAACCGAGUCUUAACUGGGCGUUAAGUUGCAGGGUAUAGACCCGAAACCCGGUGAUCUAGCCAUGGGCAGGUUGAAGGUUGGGUAACACUAACUGGAGGACCGAACCGACUAAUGUUGAAAAAUUAGCGGAUGACUUGUGGCUGGGGGUGAAAGGCCAAUCAAACCGGGAGAUAGCUGGUUCUCCCCGAAAGCUAUUUAGGUAGCGCCUCGUGAAUUCAUCUCCGGGGGUAGAGCACUGUUUCGGCAAGGGGGUCAUCCCGACUUACCAACCCGAUGCAAACUGCGAAUACCGGAGAAUGUUAUCACGGGAGACACACGGCGGGUGCUAACGUCCGUCGUGAAGAGGGAAACAACCCAGACCGCCAGCUAAGGUCCCAAAGUCAUGGUUAAGUGGGAAACGAUGUGGGAAGGCCCAGACAGCCAGGAUGUUGGCUUAGAAGCAGCCAUCAUUUAAAGAAAGCGUAAUAGCUCACUGGUCGAGUCGGCCUGCGCGGAAGAUGUAACGGGGCUAAACCAUGCACCGAAGCUGCGGCAGCGACGCUUAUGCGUUGUUGGGUAGGGGAGCGUUCUGUAAGCCUGCGAAGGUGUGCUGUGAGGCAUGCUGGAGGUAUCAGAAGUGCGAAUGCUGACAUAAGUAACGAUAAAGCGGGUGAAAAGCCCGCUCGCCGGAAGACCAAGGGUUCCUGUCCAACGUUAAUCGGGGCAGGGUGAGUCGACCCCUAAGGCGAGGCCGAAAGGCGUAGUCGAUGGGAAACAGGUUAAUAUUCCUGUACUUGGUGUUACUGCGAAGGGGGGACGGAGAAGGCUAUGUUGGCCGGGCGACGGUUGUCCCGGUUUAAGCGUGUAGGCUGGUUUUCCAGGCAAAUCCGGAAAAUCAAGGCUGAGGCGUGAUGACGAGGCACUACGGUGCUGAAGCAACAAAUGCCCUGCUUCCAGGAAAAGCCUCUAAGCAUCAGGUAACAUCAAAUCGUACCCCAAACCGACACAGGUGGUCAGGUAGAGAAUACCAAGGCGCUUGAGAGAACUCGGGUGAAGGAACUAGGCAAAAUGGUGCCGUAACUUCGGGAGAAGGCACGCUGAUACGUAGGUGAAGUCCCUUGCGGAUGGAGCUGAAAUCAGUCGAAGAUACCAGCUGGCUGCAACUGUUUAUUAAAAACACAGCACUGUGCAAACACGAAAGUGGACGUAUACGGUGUGACGCCUGCCCGGUGCCGGAAGGUUAAUUGAUGGGGUUAGCGGUAACGCGAAGCUCUUGAUCGAAGCCCCGGUAAACGGCGGCCGUAACUAUAACGGUCCUAAGGUAGCGAAAUUCCUUGUCGGGUAAGUUCCGACCUGCACGAAUGGCGUAAUGAUGGCCAGGCUGUCUCCACCCGAGACUCAGUGAAAUUGAACUCGCUGUGAAGAUGCAGUGUACCCGCGGCAAGACGGAAAGACCCCGUGAACCUUUACUAUAGCUUGACACUGAACAUUGAGCCUUGAUGUGUAGGAUAGGUGGGAGGCUUUGAAGUGUGGACGCCAGUCUGCAUGGAGCCGACCUUGAAAUACCACCCUUUAAUGUUUGAUGUUCUAACGUUGGCCCCUAAUCGGGGUUGCGGACAGUGUCUGGUGGGUAGUUUGACUGGGGCGGUCUCCUCCUAAAGAGUAACGGAGGAGCACGAAGGUUGGCUAAUCCUGGUCGGACAUCAGGAGGUUAGUGCAAUGGCAUAAGCCAGCUUGACUGCGAGCGUGACGGCGCGAGCAGGUGCGAAAGCAGGUCAUAGUGAUCCGGUGGUUCUGAAUGGAAGGGCCAUCGCUCAACGGAUAAAAGGUACUCCGGGGAUAACAGGCUGAUACCGCCCAAGAGUUCAUAUCGACGGCGGUGUUUGGCACCUCGAUGUCGGCUCAUCACAUCCUGGGGCUGAAGUAGGUCCCAAGGGUAUGGCUGUUCGCCAUUUAAAGUGGUACGCGAGCUGGGUUUAGAACGUCGUGAGACAGUUCGGUCCCUAUCUGCCGUGGGCGCUGGAGAACUGAGGGGGGCUGCUCCUAGUACGAGAGGACCGGAGUGGACGCAUCACUGGUGUUCGGGUUGUCAUGCCAAUGGCACUGCCCGGUAGCUAAAUGCGGAAGAGAUAAGUGCUGAAAGCAUCUAAGCACGAAACUUGCCCCGAGAUGAGUUCUCCCUGACUCCUUGA